AAGUAUUAUAUAUACUUGCCAUUUCCUAAAACUGGAUACUUCUGUUUUGCACAUCUUUUAUUCCAUUUUAAUUACAUUUUUACUAUAAAGCAUUCAUCAAUGAAAAAAUUCAUAUGAAAAUUGAAGACUAAGGUUUCUCAUGUGGCUCACCAUAAUGGUAAAUCAGGAGAGGAAAUGGUUUUUGUGAAGCAGAUGAGGUUAGUUGUUAAAUGUUUCUUAAAUCUUUCCAUUAACUUUCUAAUUUUUCAAUUGGAAUGAUAACACUACAUUUUAAUUACA
rnacentral:lncRNA from 1 species